GGCCACAUCAUGUUGAAACACCGGGUACUGUAUUAUCACCAAAGUUAAGCAACAUUGAGCUUGAUUAGUACCUAUAUAGGUGACCUCUCGGGAACAUCGGGUGCUGUAA